rnacentral:lncRNA from 1 species
UCAUCGAUGUGAAAGGAUCUCUAAAAAACAUACACAUGGAGUGUGUUUAUUAGUAAUAUUAUAACAAUAUAUGGUCAACAAAUAGUCAACAAAAAAACAUAUAAUAAUAUAUGGUAAGUACCUGUAUCUCGGACCAUAUUUUUUCUUUGCCAACCUCAAUUCCGGACUUCUCCAAUUAUCACAUGUAAUCAGAAUAUGUUGUCGAACAAGGAAACCAAUGUAACUUGCCAACAUUGAACCGUUAGGCUCAAUUAGUUGGUCUUCAGCACUCCAAUGUACUUCGAAUUUUUCACCCUUGUCUCUUGCACGAAU